GUCCAUGCCGUAAACGAUGUCUACUAGCCGUUGGGGCCUUUGAGGCUUUAGUGGCGCAGCUAACGCGAUAAGUAGACCGCCUGGGGAGUACGGUCGCAAGACUAAAACUCAAAUGAAUUGACGGGGGCCCGCACAAGCGGUGGAGCAUGUGGUUUAAUUCGAUGAUACGCGAGGAACCUUACCUGGCCUUGACAUACAGAGAACUUUCCAGAGAUGGAUUGGUGCCUUCGGGAACUCUGAUACAGGUGCUGCAUGGCUGUCGU
rnacentral:rRNA from 1 species